AAAGCAUGGUGAGGGUAUUUCCUAAGCAUUUCCUUAAAUCUCACCCAACUUUCAAAAAUCAAUUCUCCCUUAAACUAUACAAAAGAUGUGAUAUCAUUCCUAAGUUU